GCCCAGACACAAUGAACCUACAAGGACAAAGGUCAGAGGUCUUUUUAGUCAUAAUGAAGUGCAAGUAUUUAAAUAAAAGGAGCUCAUGGACAAAAGGCAUGUUUCAUUCAAGAAAAAACAAAAGUACAAGCAAAAUAAAAUUUGAGUUGCAAAUUUCCCAGGGAAUGCCAUUAACUGCUUCAAUUAAAUGUAUACUGGUAUAUGGGGGCACUGGGGACACUUUCAGAAUGAUCAAUUCAGGAAAAUGAAUGUACAUGAAAUUGCUUAUUGCCAAAUGUUCAUGGCACAUUCAUCAAACACAAAACAAAUAAAAUAAUGAUCGACUUUACAGGAGAGACAGAGAGAGAGAAGGCAUCAAAGGAAUAGGAAUUAACGUGGAUCUGGUUUCCCAAAGAGCGUCACAGUUUGCAGUAAUCAUUCCAUGAGAUUUUCCAAAAAUUUGUUGUUCGGGUCUCGGGUGGCUUCAUCUUCUCCAGCUAAGAAGCUUCAAAUGAAAGGAAAAUCGAGAGAAUACAAUGAUAAUGCCAUAUGAAUAAAUGAUUAAACAAAUGAUGAUGCGCAGCCUAGGAAAAGAGCUGCUACAAACAGCCCUGCUGCAUCAGACCUUGGUCCUUAUACUUGAGAGGCUCAUAAUAUGGAUGACUAUGCAUUUUUAGCUGUCUUUUAUAAUUGAUGCUACAACAGAGGGAUAUGUUAGUCUUUUAGAACUGAAUCAACUGAUUAUCAU
rnacentral:misc_RNA from 1 species